GACCUGCGGAGGGANCAUUACACAAAUAUGAAGGCGGGCUGGAACCUCUCGGGGUUACAGCCUUGCUGAAUUAUUCACCCUUGUCUUUUGCGUACUUCUUGUUUCCUUGGUGGGUUCGCCCACCACUAGGACAAACAUAAACCUUUUGUAAUUGCAAUCAGCGUCAGUAACAAAUUAAUAAUUACAACUUUCAACAACGGAUCUCUUGGUUCUGGCAUCGAUGAAGAACGCAGCGAAAUGCGAUAAGUAGUGUGAAUUGCAGAAUUCAGUGAAUCAUCGAAUCUUUGAACGCACAUUGCGCCCUUUGGUAUUCCAAAGGGCAUGCCUGUUCGAGCGUCAUUUGUACCCUCAAGCUUUGCUUGGUGUUGGGCGUCUUGUCUCUAGCUUUGCUGGAGACUCGCCUUAAAGUAAUUGGCAGCCGGCCUACUGGUUUCGGAGCGCAGCACAAGUCGCACUCUCUAUCAGCAAAGGUCUAGCAUCCAUUAAGCCUUUUUUUCAACUUUUGACCUCGGAUCAGGUAGGGAUACCCGCUGAACUUAAGCAUA
rnacentral:rRNA from 1 species